rnacentral:rRNA from 1 species
CGAGAGAUGAGGAGCUUGCUCUUCAAAUCGAGUGGCGAGCGGGUGAGUAACGCGUGAGGAACCUGCCUCAAAGAGGGGGACAGCAGUUGGAAACGACUGCUAAUACCGCAUAAGCCCACGGCUCGGCAUCGAGCAGAGGGAAAAGGAGCAAUCCGCUUUGAGAUGGCCUCGCGUCCGAUUAGCUAGUUGGUGAGGUAACGGCCCACCAAGGCGACGAUCGGUAGCCGGACUGAGAGGUUGAACGGCCACAUUGGGACUGAGACACGGCCCAGACUCCUACGGGAGGCAGCAGUGGGGAAUAUUGCACAAUGGGGGAAACCCUGAUGCAGCGACGCCGCGUGGAGGAAGAAGGUCUUCGGAUUAUAAACUCCUGUUGUUGAGGAAGAUAAUGACGGUACUCAACAAGGAAGUGACGGCUAACUACGUGCCAGCAGCCGCGGUAAAACGUAGGUCACAAGCGUUGUCCGGAAUUACUGGGUGUAAAGGGAGCGCAGGCGGGAGAACAAGUUGGAAGUGAAAUCCAUGGGCUCAACCCAUGAACUGCUUUCAAAACUGUUUUUCUUGAGUAGUGCAGAGGUAGGCGGAAUUCCCGGUGUAGCGGUGGAAUGCGUAGAUAUCGGGAGGAACACCAGUGGCGAAGGCGGCCUACUGGGCACCAACUGACGCUGAGGCUCGAAAGUGUGGGUAGCAACAGGAUUAGAUACCCUGGUAGUCCACACCGUAAACGAUGAUUACUAGGUGUUGGAGGAUUGACCCCUUCAGUGCCGCAGUUAACACAAUAAGUAAUCCACCUGGGGAGUACGACCGCAAGGUUGAAACUCAAAGGAAUUGACGGGGGCCCGCACAAGCAGUGGAGUAUGUGGUUUAAUUCGACGCAACGCGAAGAACCUUACCAAGUCU